GGUCCCGGUAGCCCCCACCCCUAGGGGGCUCCGAUUGGCUGAAGGGGGGCGUCAUGAGGAGGGCAUUUAAAACACUAAUUCCCAGUUAAAUGCCUGCGCUUUAGAGUCAACUGAGACUUGAAUUAUGUUACAAUGCAGGAUAUAAAGAUAGACAAGCAAUAUGGUCCAUGUUUAGAAGCAAAAUGUAGACUGCUGGGGAUUAGUUUUUUAUUUUGAAAGGUACUGCAAAUCAACCAUCAUUUCCAGGAAUAUUAUUCUAAAGUGAUACCAUUCCUGGUAACUAGCUUAAUAUAUGCAUUGAUUUUCCAGAUGUCAACCCAUCUACAUCUAAAUUUCAAUCUGAACCAUAAUUACAGCUUUGUGAUUUAAACUUGAAUCUGAAGUCUUGUGAGUUCAAGCAAUCAUUCCACAUGUUUCGCCCAUUAAAUGUCAAGGUGAGGUUUAAGAGAAAUUAUAAAAAAUUUCAGAAUUGGUUUUACUCUACUCUUAUGCCAAUCGUGGGUCAAUUUUAGUCCCUGAAUCAUCACCAGCUGCCCACUACCCAACAGAUUUGGAAAUCAAAUGUGUGAGAAUUACACAAGAAUUAAAAUCUCAGCACUUGUCCCAAAAAAAGAUAGAAAAUCAUCACGUAGCUGGUUCGAAAAGUAAACCUGUCAAUACAUUUUACAGAAGUCCUUCAAGUAGUUUUUUAAAAGGGUACUUCAGAAAGUUCUUGGCCUCACCUAGAAACAAGGUUUGCAACUGCAUAACUGUAAAUUAUUAAGCUUUAUGUCAUAUAUAGCAGCACUUGUCCCCCCCAAAAGAAAGAAAAUCAUCAAUUAGGUGGUCAGAAAAGUAACAUUUAACAUUUUUUUCCCCUAUGAAUUCAACUAAUAUUUUAUGAAGAUACUUCAAAAAAGUUCUCGCCUCACCCAGAAAGAAGGUUUGUAACUCCCAUUUUAGAGCAUAACUGUAUACUAGAAAGCCUGAUAUCACUGUCUGCAAAAAAAUCUAAUGUUUGAUGUUAUUUCUUUGAAGGUAACGCCUUUCGAAAAUCAUGAGACUGAAACCAGCUGACGUCUAUGGUUUACACUAUGUACUGGACAGACACGCUGCAGUGAAUGGCCUCCACUUGAUCGAUUUUGGAUGUCUUGACUGUGGAUCAUCUCUUCUUCUUCUGCUUAAGCUCAGCCAACCCACUUCUUUAGCAAGCCUCACCCUAACUGAUCGAGGCAGAUGACCCCCUCCUUGAGCCUGGUUCUGCUGGAGGUUUCUUCCUGUUAAAGGCCUCCGUUGACUCGUCCCGCCUGCCGUCUCUGGAGCUGAAGCUGGAUUGGAACAGACCAAAGUACAGUCCAAUCACGAUGCCAGCUGCCUCUCAAAAGGCUCCUUCAUCUGGCAGGUGGCGCCACUUCUUCUGAGGGGAAGCUGAGCUGGCCCGGCAGAACUUUGGAGAUGUGUUCCAGUGGUUGGUGGAUGUGUGGGGAGAUAGAGAGGGACCUUUGAAUUGUUCAGAAAGGAAAACAGGGAACCCAUUGGUAGUUUUAGUUUAGGGUGCUACUGCGGUGUGUUUUUGGGCUUGAAGAGGUGAACAGGAAGAGUUUUUUUUCUGUAUUGAUUAUCUUUUACUUUGUUGCUGGUUGGAAUGCCCAUCAAUGUCAACAUGAAGUUCACUUUUAGUUCUGUUUAUUUAUUUUUAUUUUACUAACACUCAUUUGUUUUUAACCCCCUCACAUGUUGUGUUGUAAACUUACUCUUUCAAAUAAAUUCUCGUCUAACCCUCUGGAAACCAG